rnacentral:rRNA from 1 species
UGGACGAAAGUCUGACGGAGCAACGCCGCGUGAACGAUGAAGGCUUUCGGGUCGUAAAGUUCUGUUGUCAGGGAAGAACAAGUACCGGAGUAACUGCCGGUACCUUGACGGUACCUGACCAGAAAGCCACGGCUAACUACGUGCCAGCAGCCGCGGUAAUACGUAGGUGGCAAGCGUUGUCCGGAAUUAUUGGGCGUAAAGCGCGCGCAGGCGGUUCCUUAAGUCUGAUGUGAAAGCCCCCGGCUCAACCGGGGAGGGUCAUUGGAAACUGGGGAACUUGAGUGCAGAAGAGGAGAGCGGAAUUCCACGUGUAGCGGUGAAAUGCGUAGAGAUGUGGAGGAACACCAGUGGCGAAGGCGGCUCUCUGGUCUGUAACUGACGCUGAGGCGCGAAAGCGUGGGGAGCGAACAGGAUUAGAUACCCUGGUAGUCCACGCCGUAAACGAUGAGUGCUAAGUGUUAGAGGGUUUCCGCCCUUUAGUGCUGCAGCAAACGCAUUAAGCACUCCGCCUGGGGAGUAC